CCUACGGGUGGCAGCAGUGAGGAAUAUUGGUCAAUGGGCGCGAGCCUGAACCAGCCAAGUCGCGUGAAGGAUGACUGCCCUACGGGUUGUAAACUUCUUUUAUAAAGGAAUAAAGUGAGGCACGUGUGUCUUUUUGUAUGUACUUUAUGAAUAAGGAUCGGCUAACUCCGUGCCAGCAGCCGCGGUAAUACGGAGGAUCCGAGCGUUAUCCGGAUUUAUUGGGUUUAAAGGGAGCGUAGGUGGGUUGUUAAGUUAGAUGUGAAAGUUUGCGGCUCAACCUUAAAAUUGCAUUUGAUACUGGCAGUCUUGAGUACAGUUGAGGUAGGCGGAAUUCGUGGUGUAGCGGUGAAAUGCUUAGAUAUCACGAAGAACACCGAUUGCGAAGGCAGCUUACUAAACUGCCACUGACAUUGAUGCUCGAAAGUGUGGGUAGCAAACAGGAUUAGAUACCCCUGUAGUC
rnacentral:rRNA from 1 species